AUUGAACGCUGGCGGCAUGCCUUACACAUGCAAGUCGAACGGUAACAGGUCCUCGGAUGCUGACGAGUGGCGAACGGGUGAGUAAUACAUCGGAACGUGCCUAGUAGUGGGGGAUAACUACUCGAAAGAGUGGCUAAUACCGCAUGAGAUCUACUGAUGAAAGCAGGGGAUCGAAAGACCUUGUGCUACUAGAGCGGCCGAUGGCAGGUUAGGUAGUUGGUGGGAUAAAAGCUUACCAAGCCGACGAUCUGUAGCUGGUCUGAGAGGACGAUCAGCAACACUGGGACUGAGACACGGCCCAGAGUCCUACGGGAGGCAGCAGUGGGGAAUGUUGGACAAUGGGCGCAAGCCUGAUCCAGCAAUGCCGCGUGCAGGAUGAAGGCCUUCGGGUUGUAAACUGCUUUUGUACGGAACGAAAAGCCCCGGGUUAAUACCCUGGGGUCAUGACGGUACCGUAAGAAUAAGCACCGGCUAACUACGUGCCAGCCGCCGCAGUAA
rnacentral:rRNA from 1 species